GUCGAACGCUGGCGGCGUGCCUAAUACAUGCAAGUAGAACGCAGUUGCGAACGGGUGAGUAACGCGUAGGUAACUGCCUCAUAGCGGGGGAUAACUAUUGGAAACGAUAGCUCAUACCGCAUACUGUGAGAUGGACCUGCGUUGUAUUAGCUAGUUGGUGAGGUAAAGGCUCACCAAGGCCACGAUACAUAGCCGACCUGAGAGGGUGAUCUGCCAAAAUGGGACGGAGACAAGGCCCAGACACCUACGGGGGGCAGCAGUAGGGAAUCUUCGGAAAUGGGCGGAAGGCGGACCGGGGAACGCCGCGGGAGUGAAGAAGGUUUUCGGGUCGUAAAGCUCUGUUGUUAGAGAAGCGGUAAAGAACCAGAAAGGGACGGCUAACUACGGGCCAGCAGCGGCGGUAAUAC
rnacentral:rRNA from 1 species